rnacentral:rRNA from 1 species
UACGUAGGGCGCAAGCGUUGUCCGGAAUUAUUGGGCGUAAAGAGCUCGUAGGCGGCCUGUUACGUCUGCUGUGAAAUCCCGGGGCUUAACCCCGGGCGUGCAGUGGAUACGGGCAGGCUGGAGGCAGGCAGGGGAGAACGGAAUUCCCGGUGUAGCGGUGAAAUGCGCAGAUAUCGGGAGGAACACCGGUGGCGAAGGCAGGUCUCUGGGCUGACACUGACGCUCAUGCACGAAAGCGUGGGGAGCAAACAGGA